UGAUGGCCAUAUCAUGUUUAAACACAGAUUCUUGUACGAUCAGCGAAGUUUAGCAGCGUCAAGCCUGGUCAGUACCUGGAUGGGUGACCACUAGGGAAUACCAGGUGCUGUAAG